CACACGUUGUGCUGAAUCAGCAAUUUAUAUUUUGCACAUUUUUGCGUAUAACUUCGGAACCAGAUGAGAUAGAAUAAAGCAGUAAACGGCCAAUCGACUUAUUUUUUCAUGCUCUUUCAGAUAAAGCAAUAAAAUUUUUUAUUGCCAUUACCCUUUAAGCUUUUUUCUGGCUAGUUAUAGCUGCUCGUGUCAUGUAUAUACGUGCGGAAGCUUUGUGAAUCGCGGCAGGUGAAACAUUCGGCUAUUUAUUCGUAUACGACGAGUCAAUGUUUGACAGCAUGCAUGACGCCAAAACUUCAGUAUAAACGCAAUAAAAGGUUUAUAAUUCAACCUACAUUAUUCUGGCCACUAUAUUACGCCAACAAGUGAUUACUUUGUGAGUUAAACUGCAUGUACGUCCGCGGUAGAACGCGAAAUUUGGAAGUCGAUUAUCUCAAAUCUUGAGUUUAAUUAAUUAGCUACUAUUUUCCAUAUUAAGGUUACAGAACACCUUUGAGUGUUAAUUUUGCCUAAAUUUUUUUAUUGGUUUCCAUGAAAGCAUUAGACUCGUACGUUCUGCUAUCUGACAAAGUUUAAAAGGCGAAAAAUGUUGAAAACUCGCAGAGUUAUUUCUAUUUCGCUGCAAUAAGAAAAACAUUGAAAAUGUAAUAUUCAAGUUCAAUUUUCUCCCGAAGAAUUUUACGGUAAUUAUGGAUUUUCAAACGAGUCGGUUCUCCUGCGGGUUUUAUCCAAUUUUUCUCAAAUUUUCACAGCACAUAGCUAAAGACGUCAGUUUGAAAAUGGUGUUCGGCUUUUUUAAAACUUUGGAUAUUUUAAUAAUAAAGAGCAAUUGCAAUUCACUCAAACAAUUCAGAAAUAUAUUGCAUGCAGUCGUCAAAGAAAUCGUCAUAUCAGCCGAAUGACAAAAUAAACAAAAAUUUCCGAACACAGUUUUUUAGAACAACUAUUUUACUGUAUAAAAAUGAUAUUUUCAUAAAUAUAACGUAAAACCAGCAGGAGCACAACUCAAAAACGCAACGGUACCGCGAUUUAAGAUUUUCCUGAAUAAUUCUUACAUUUCCCGCAGAAGUGAGAACUCUGUAUUGUACUCUGUG